GACGAACGCUGGCGGCGUGCCUAAUACAUGCAAGUCGAACGAACCGCGACUAGGUGCUUGCACUUGGUCAAGGUGAGUGGCGAACGGGUGAGUAACACGUGGGUAACCUACCUCAUAGUGGGGGAUAACAGUCGGAAACGACUGCUAAUACCGCAUAGGACAUAGGAUCACAUGAUCCAGUGAGGAAAGGUGGCGCAAGCUAUCGCUAAGAGAUGGACCCGCGGUGCAUUAGCUAGUUGGUAGGGUAAAGGCCUACCAAGGCGAUGAUGCAUAGCCGACCUGAGAGGGUGAUCGGCCACAUUGGGACUGAGACACGGCCCAAACUCCUACGGGAGGCAGCAGUAGGGAAUCUUCCGCAAUGGACGCAAGUCUGACGGAGCAACGCCGCGUGAGUGAAGAAGGUCUUAGGAUCGUAAAGCUCUGUUGUUAGAGAAGAACAGCGCAUAGAGUAACUGUUAUGCGUGUGACGGUAUCUAAACAGAAAGCCACGGCUAACUACGUG
rnacentral:rRNA from 1 species